CGUACCCUAAACCGACACAGGUGGACUGGUAGAGAAUACCAAGGCGCUUGAGAGAACGAUGUUGAAGGAACUCGGCAAAAUACCUCCGUAAGUUCGCGAGAAGGAGGCCCAGUUUCUACGCAAGUAUUGGCUGGGGGCACAAACCAGGGGGUGGCGACUGUUUAUUAAAAACACAGGGCUCUGCGAAGUCGCAAGACGACGUAUAGGGUCUGACGCCUGCCCGGUGCCGGAAGGUUAAUUGAUGGGGUUAGCGUAAGCGAAGCUCUUGAUCGAAGCCCCGGUAAACGGCGGCCGUAACGAUAACGGUCCUAAGGUAGCGAAAUUCCUUGUCGGGUAAGUUCCGACCUGCACGAAUGGCGUAACGAUCGCCCCACUGUCUCCACCCGAGACUCAGUGAAAUCGAAAUCGCAGUGAAGAUGCUGUGUACCCGCACCUAGACGGAAAGACCCCGUGAACCUUUACUACAGCUUGGCACUGAACAUUGACCCUACAUGUGUAGGAUAGGUGGGAGGCUUUGAAGCGUUGUCG
rnacentral:rRNA from 14 species